AUAUAGGCGAGAGACCGAUAGCGAACAAGUACCGUGAGGGAAAGAUGAAAAGCACUUUGGAAAGAGAGUUAAACAGUACGUGAAAUUGUUGAAAGGGAAACGCUUGAAGUCAGUCGCGUUAGUUGAGACUCAGCCUUGCUUUUGCUUGGUGCAUUUCUUAGCUGACGGGUCAGCAUCAAUUUUGAUCAUUGGAGAAAGACCUUGGGAAUGUGGCACCUUCGGGUGUGUUAUAGCCCUUGGUUGUAUGCAAUGGUUGGGAUUGAGGACCGCAGUGCGCCUUUAUGGUCGGGGUUCGCCCUCGUUCGCACUUAGGAUGCUGGCAUAAUGGCUUUAAGCGACCCGUCUUGAAACACGGACC
rnacentral:rRNA from 1 species